UUCGCAAUGCCCGAAAGGGUGACGAAGCGACGCCGCGUGGGUGAAGAAGGCCUUCGGGUUGUAAAACCCUGUCAGGAGUUAAGAAAUGUAGGUUCGAAAAUAUUGGAUCUAUUUGACAAAAGCUCCAGAGGAAGCCACGGCUAACUCUGUGCCAGCAGCCGCGGUAAUACAGAGGUGGCAAGCGUUGUUCGGAAUUAUUGGGCGUAAAGAGCACGUAGGUGGAUUUGUUAGUCAGAUGUGAAAGCCUUCUGUUCAACGGAAGAAUUGCAUCUGAAACUACAAACCUUGAGUAUAGGAGGGGAGAGUGGAACUUCUGGUGGAGCGGUGAAAUGCGUAGAUAUCAGAAGGAACGCCGGCGGCGAAAGCGACUCUCUGGCCUAUAACUGACACUGAGUGUGCGAAAGCUAGGGGAGCAAACGGGAUUAGAUACCCCGGUAGUCCUAGCCGUAAACGAUGGGCACUAAGUAGAGGGGUU
rnacentral:rRNA from 1 species